rnacentral:rRNA from 1 species
UACGUAGGGGCCAAGCGUUGUUCGGAUUUACUGGGCGUAAAGGGCGCGUAGGCGGCAAUUCAAGUCAGCUGUGAAAUCUCCGGGCUUAACUCGGAACGGUCAGCUGAUACUGUUUUGCUAGAGUGCAGAAGGGGCAAUCGGAAUUCUCGGUGUAGCGGUGAAAUGCGUAGAUAUCGAGAGGAACACCUGAGGUGAAGACGGGUUGCUGGGCUGACACUGACGCUGAUGCGCGAAAGCCAGGGUAGCAAACGGG